GUGCUUGCCUCGACAGCACAAGGACUGAAAUUGGAACAAUACGGAGUGAAUUAGCGUGGCCCCUGUGCAAGAAUGACACACAAAUUCAUGAAGUAUUCCAUAUUAAA